rnacentral:rRNA from 1 species
UACGGAGGGUGCAAGCGUUAUCCGGAUUUACUGGGUUUAAAGGGUGCGUAGGCGGACAGGUAAGUCAGUGGUGAAAUCCCCGGGCUCAACUCGGGAACUGCCGUUGAUACUAUCUGUCUUGAAUACCGUGGAGGUGAGCGGAAUAUGUCAUGUAGCGGUGAAAUGCUUAGAUAUGACAUAGAACACCGAUUGCGAAGGCAGCUCGCUACACUAUUAUUGACGCUGAGGCACGAAGCGUGGGGAUCAAACAGGA